UACGGAGGGUGCGAGCGUUGUCCGGAAUCACUGGGCGUAAAGGGCGCGUAGGCGGCGCGGGCAGUCAAUGGUGAAAUCUUGGGGCUCAACCCCGAGUCGGCCGUCGAUACUCCCGUGCUUGAGCACUGUAGAGGCAGGUGGAAUUCCGGGUGUAGCGGUGGAAUGCGUAGAGAUCCGGAAGAACACCGGUGGCGAAGGCGGCCUGCUGGGCAGUAGCUGACGCUGAGGCGCGACAGCGUGGGGAGCAAACAGG
rnacentral:rRNA from 1 species